GAGAUUUCAUUCGCACUAGUGAUAGCUAGUUUCCCCGGAAAGAUAUAAAAGUGUCGUGAAAAAUAUAAUUUAUAAUAUGGACUAUUGUAUAUACAUGUAUUUCACUAAUUUUUUUGAGGAUAAGCUCAAAAAAAAGUUAAGAAUUUUUUAGUUAAAUUUGCUGUAUAGGCUUAAAAUUGGCCAUUACAAGAGUUUUUUAUAAAAUAGCAAUUUUAAUUUUAUAAAUAAAUAUAAUUAUAAACUAACUUCUUACGGGGAUAAGAACUUUAACUUAAAAUAAGUUUCAUGCCUAUGCUAGAAUGAGUAUUAAAACUUAAUUAUAGAAGAUUUAUUCAUAUUCUGUCUUCUUUAAAAAAAAUAAAAAAAAUUAAUUAAUUAGAAGGAACUCGGCAAAUUCAGUUGUUCCGCCUGUUUAUCAAAAACAUGGAUCUUUGACUAUAUAAAUAUAGAGAGUCGAGCCUGCCC
rnacentral:rRNA from 1 species